rnacentral:rRNA from 1 species
UACGAAGGGUGCAAGCGUUACUCGGAAUCACUGGGCGUAAAGCGUGCGUAGGCGGUUCGUUAAGUCUGCUGUGAAAGCCCUGGGCUCAACCUGGGAACUGCAGUGGAUACUGGCGAGCUAGAGUGUGAUAGAGGAUGGUGGAAUUCCCGGUGUAGCGGUGAAAUGCGUAGAGAUCGGGAGGAACACCGGUGGCGAAGGCGGUUCUCUGGGCCUUACCUGACGCUGAGGAGCGAAAGCGUGGGGAGCGAACAGG